AAAUUGAAGAGUUUGAUCAUGGCUCAGAUUGAACGCUGGCGGCAGGCCUAACACAUGCAAGUCGAGCGGAAACGAGUUAUUUGAACCUUCGGGGGACGAUAACGGCGUCGAGCGGCGGACGGGUGAGUAAUGCCUAGGAAAUUGCCCUGAUGUGGGGGAUAACCAUUGGAAACGAUGGCUAAUACCGCAUGAUGCCUACGGGCCAA
rnacentral:rRNA from 1 species